rnacentral:rRNA from 1 species
GACGAACGCUGGCGGCGUGCCUAAUACAUGCAAGUCGAACGCUUCUUUCCUCCCGAGUGCUUGCACUCAAUUGGAAAGAGGAGUGGCGGACGGGUGAGUAACACGUGGGUAACCUACCCAUCAGAGGGGGAUAACACUUGGAAACAGGUGCUAAUACCGCAUAACAGUUUAUGCCGCAUGGCAUAAGAGUGAAAGGCGCUUUCGGGUGUGGCUGAUGGAUGGACCCGCGGUGCAUUAGCUAGUUGGUGAGGUAACGGCUCACCAAGGCCACGAUGCAUAGCCGACCUGAGAGGGUGAUCGGCCACCCUGGGACUGAGACACGGCCCAGACUCCUACGGGAGGCAGCAGUAGGGAAUCUUCGGCAAUGGACGAAAGUCUGACCGAGCAACGCCGCGUGAGUGAAGAAGGUUUUCGGAUCGUAAAACUCUGUUGUUAGAGAAGAACAAGGACGUUAGUAACUGAACGUCCCCUGACGGUAUCUAACCAGAAAGCCACGGCUAACUACGUG